CCCUUAGAUGUUCUGGGCCGCACGCGCGCUACACUGAUGCAUUCAACGAGUCUAAAACCUGGUCUGAGAGGGCUGGGUAAUCUUUUGAAAGUGCAUCGUGAUUGGGAUAGAUGAUUGCAAUUCUUCAUCUUCAACGAGGAAUGCCUAGUAAACGCAAGUCAUCAGCUUGCAUUGAUUACGUCCCUGCCCUUUGUACACACCGCCCGUCGCUCCUACCGAUUGAACGAUCCGAUGAAAACUGUGGAUUGAGAGUCUGAGUGGGUUCGUCUACCUCAACUUUCGAGAAGCGGUUUAAAUCUUAUCGUUUAGAGGAAGGAGAAGUCGUAACA
rnacentral:rRNA from 1 species